rnacentral:tRNA from 1 species
UGGCUCAAUCGGUAGAGCGUCUGACUACCAGUCGGGCAGUCGCUGGUUCGAGUCCGGU